GAUCCUGGCUCAGGAUGAACGCUAGCUACAGGCUUAACACAUGCAAGUCGAGGGGCAGCAUGGUCUUAGCUUGCUAAGGCCGAUGCGGGGGGGGGGGGGACCGCGCACGGGUGAGUAACGCGUAUCCAACCUGCCUUACACUCUUGGACAGCCUUCUGAAAGGGAGAUUAAUACAAGAUGUUAUCAUGAGUAAGCAUUUUCACAUGAUUAAAGGUUUACCGGUGUAAGAUGGGGAUGCGUU
rnacentral:rRNA from 1 species